rnacentral:lncRNA from 1 species
CGGUGAUGUUUUUCCACUUUAGGUGGUGAUGUAUUAUUGUUGUAUUAUAUUGUUUGAUGUUGUGGUCCCACACGCAUGGCGUUCUCGCCUACAUGCGGUGAUGUUUUUCCACUGUUGUGUGGUGUUGAGNNNNNNNNNNNNNNNNNNNNNNNNNNNNNNNNNNNNNNNNNNNNNNNNNNNNNNNNNNNNNNNNNNNNNNNNNNNNNNNNNNNNNNNNNNNNNNNNNNNNNNNNNNNNNNNNNNNNNNNNNNNNNNNNNNNNNNNNNNNNNNNNNNNNNNNNNNNNNNNNNNNNNNNNNNNNNNNNNNNNNNNNNNNNNNNNNNNNNNNNNNNNNNNNNNNNNNNNNNNNNNNNNNNNNNNNNNNNNNNNNNNNNNNNNNNNNNNNNNNNNNNNNNNNNNNNNNNNNNNNNNNNNNNNNNNNNNNNNNNNNNNNNNNNNNNNNNNNNNNNNNNNNNNNNNNNNNNNNNNNNNNNNNNNNNNNNNNNNNNNNNNNNNNNNNNNNNNNNNNNNNNNNNNNNNNNNNNNNNNNNNNNNNNNNNNNNNNNNNNNNNNNNNNNNNNNNNNNNNNNNNNNNNNNNNNNNNNNNNNNNNNNNNNNNNNNNNNNNNNNNNNNNNNNNNNNNNNNNNNNNNNNNNNNNNNNNNNNNNNNNNNNNNNNNNNNNNNNNNNNAUAUAUAUAUAUAUAUAUAUAUAUAUAUAUAUAUAUAGGGGAGGGCUACAGUAAAAACACUUCUUAAAAUAUAAAUAUAAACGUUUUUUAAUGUACGAAUUUUACCCAACAUGGUUACGAAUUCAUCCAACAUGGUUACGAAUUGUGAAAAAUAAAUUUUUGCUACCUUUGAGAUUCGAACCCAGGACCACGAAUUCAUCCAAAAGGGUUACGAAUCAACCGUAGAUCUUGAUGAUCUAAGGGCUGAAAAACAUUUAUAUAGGGAGAGGUUCAAAUAAGAACCACUAAAUAAAAUUAGAACAGAGAACCAUUUUAAACCAUUCGAUCAUCAAGAUCUACGGUGGAUGCAUCAUCUUGGUGGAUGAAUGCAGAUCCUGGGUUCGAAUCCUGAAGGGAGCAAAGAAUUUAUUAUUUUCGGAUGCAUUAAAUUUAAUAGCGAAUGCAUUAAUUUAUAUAGUAGAUGCAUUGAUUUUAAUGGUUCUUAUGUUCUCACGAUCAGUGUGGUUCUCACUAUAACCGCACCCUAUAUAUAUAUAUAAUAUUUUUUAUAAAAGAUAUACUAGUUUUUAUUAAUUAUUCUAACAAAAUUUGUUCAACCAAUUAAAUAUUGACAAGUGUGAAGAUAUCAUUGGUCCAUGUUUGAGGAGAGAGUUCUUCAAGGUCCACCAUGCAAACAAUUGCCUUAUCAAUGGUUUUUUUUUUUUCUUUAGUGAUUUGGCAGAGACCUGGUCAACCAUGUUAGAACCGAUAAACCAAGUCUUAGGCUAGUACAAAAAGGGCAAUUAUUUAUAAUUUAUAAAUUAUUUGACUUAUUCCAAAAAUGUAAUUAUUAUUAUUGUGGCUGUUGAGUUGAGUUCCCAAUAGAAUAUUGAGGCACUCUCCCACGCAAACGGUUGCACCGUGCAACUGGUUUCUGAAUGACACUACUUCAAUAUACAAAUGACAAUUGUAGAUUUUCAAGUGUCAUUUGUAUGUUGAAAUAGUGUCAUUCGAAAAUGUUCAAGUAUCAUUUUCCAAAUAAAUAGUGUCAUUCUGAAUACUAGUUAUACGGUGCAAUCGGUUGCACAAGAAUAUUUGUGUAGAAAAUUUUUAAGAGUAUCUUAUCAACACACUAAUAUGAUAGUAGUUUUUUUUUUUUUGACACAUUGAAAAAUACGAGACAAAAAGAUAUAGGAAUCACUUAAUGUGACUUAUUGCUACGUUGCUAUCUAAUUUUAAGUAAUUAUAACUCAGAGAAGAUGGCAAAACAACUCAACAAUUUAGUUUUAUGAAGAAAGUAUUGAACAUUAGUUUGAAGUUUAAUUCUAUGUAAAAUUAAACAUGCCAUUUAUUUUAGAUUUUGUAUCUCUGUAGCUACUAUUUACACUUGUGAAACUAUUCUAUAAUACUAUUUGAAUUUAAAAAAAAACAAAACUAUUCUAUAAUAUUCAUCGAACAUAUUGACGCCCAAUUACACUCUGCCAUAAAUUCUGGGAGCAGAUAACAGUUGGGGACGAUUUGCAAUUUGCGGCGAUUUUGCAGAAUUUUCAUUGGUGGUAUGUAUCUCCUAUUUACGAUUUAACUAAAUGUUUGAGUGGUUCGUUUAAUUCUACAAUCACAAUGUGUUAGUAGUUUAACAAAGAUAGUGGUGAAGCUGAAUUCGUUUACGCUGAUUGUGGAGGAUGGGUAAAUGCCCCACUUGUCUAACCUCAACUUGAUUCGGUUGUGUUGUUGCGGUCUUGAAAUUUAGGCAGACAAACUAGGAUAUAAACUCAUCUAUUGAUCGACAUUGUGUCUGAAUUGCCACUGGUAGAGUAGUUGCCAAAAUGGCUUAGCUUCGACCAACUUUAUUGUUGGGUUAAACUCAUUUAUCUCAUCAAAGGAAAGAAGAUGAUCUCCCACAGUGCCUUUAGAUGCAUCAAGGAAACUAAAGCAAUAUGGAGCCUACUUUGUCUAGUAACUUUUGGUCUUGCUCUAGGACUAAGGAAAAUGGAUACAUAAACAAAAAUUACUUGUUUCCCCACAAGUGCAGCUAAUCAAAUGUUAUUAUUGUUUAGCUAGUGGGGCAGCUAAUCAAAUUGAGCUAUUAGAAAAGAAGUGGUAAUGGAUGAUAGUGAUGGUAGUGUGAUUGAGCAGAAGAGAAGUGGAGUUGUCAUCUGUUGUUAGUACUGUUCAGAAUCAGAAGAAAGUUGUCUGUCAUUACCAGAGCCUGACUCUUAGUGAAUUGAACACGAGAGAGACCUCAAAGAUGAGAGAAUUUGUAUUUUUUAUCGUCUGCACAUAAUGACAAAGGUCGACAUGAAUGCUACAUAUCAAGAAGUGAUUUGGUCGAUCUUCCUACAUACUAUUCAUGUUCUAGAGCACUAGUAAUGGAUGAUAAUGUUUAUAGAAGAAAAGGAUAUUGAUCUUGAGUUUGCUUCUAGAUUGCCAAGGAACAGAAUAUUGUGAAGGUGAUUUAUGUAGGAGUGUAUCAUGGGAAUGAAUUGAUUUUCAAUUUUGUUAAAUGCCAUUCCACUAGCUUGUAAAAGACCCUUGGCCUUGCAUAGAUUUCGUUUCAUAACAUUUCCUCGACAAUUAGUUGUGAAUGCAAAUGUCAACCAUUUAUGCUUCAAACUCAGAGCUCAGUUAAUGUGUAGCUGAAUUUGUAGUCUACUCUGCUACUCUGUAACUAGCUUGAUAUAACUUCACUACAAUCUGGAUUCUUUUGAGAGUUAAAUGCGGUCUAUCUAGUUUUCAUUUCUAUAGCUUUACUGCCUUGAACAAAUGUGUUGCGAUUCGCAGUUAUUUGAACAAUCAAUUGACGAUACUCGUGAAGAUUGUUUUGUGAUCUUGAUGUACUUGUAAGAUUCCAUAUCAUGACUGAGAGUCUCUGAGAUUUGGAAUUUGAAUAUACCAGUUGAUAUUUAGUAUCAGCAUUUUUACAGACUGCUAAAUGUUCCUGCUUACAAUCUUGCAAACUAGUUCUAUUUACUCAACAUGGUCAAGCUUAUCUCUUAUGCACAUUAGUAGAUGAUGUAAAAUAAUUUUACCACAUCUCCCUCGAGCUUUGCCUUUGCAGGUGAAGCAAAAAGGUAACUAAUGAGCCAACAGCUUCCCUCUUCACCUUCUUUACCAUGACACUUAAGCACCCACUAACUGUUAUAUCCGAAUAUUCUGGUUGAGGAUCUGCAUUGAUAUUAUUCUAAGAUUAUACAACGCAUACUUGAAGUAAAAAAAAANCACUAAAAACUUCUACCCAUGAAGAUGUCUAGGUGUAACCGGAAUGAAAGCAGAAAAUAUUAGCAGAUGAUAGUCGUGAGUCCCAACAGAAAAGUCUUGCAUUCUUAUGUAGAAUAAAAAUGUUGUGGUUUUGCUGUUUCCAUUUAUGCACUUGGUUUGCUGAUCUAAUCCACUUUGCUUACUGAUCAAAAUAACGCCAGUCGACAAGAUAAAUAUAGCAUACGGUAGUAACACUAGUUAUAUGAUUCCAAUGAGAUAAAUGAAGACAACGUUGGUCUCCAUUCGCCUCUGGUGGAAGUUACUUCUUCUCAAAGGAAAUAUUCAACAGAAAAAGAGUUGGCUCAAUAAUAUAUACUGCUGUGGUUAAAAUAGAAACCAUCUUUUUAGCUGGAUACAUUAUACUUAGCUCAUAUUUUCUUUGGAUGCAGCAAAUCUCUAUUCUCCGAUUGCAUCACAAGCCAAUGGAGAGAGAUGUGGUGGGCCAUGAUCAAGUUGAAUUAUUCCUGCUUUCUAGUCAUUCAACACUAAACAGAAUCUCCAUCUUUAGAUUCUCAUAUAAUGUUUUCUUGGCUGGUGGUGGUGUUUUUUUUACCUGCAGAAAUGCGUAAGACCACUUGAUUAAUGUCAUGGAGAGCUGCUUCUAAAUUUGCUCACUCAAGACAAGAGUUGGGGCUAGUGGAUAACCUACAUAAAAAGUAGUAAAUGAUACACCACUUUUUUUUUCAUUUCAUUUUUAUGUUAGUUAUGCAGAAUCUUGGCUUUACAUAUUUUAACACCUUUUUUUUAAAUCCUCAUGUUAAUUAUCUGUUAUUGCUGAAAUAAGCCUGCUUAGAAUGUAAAUGCUACAAAAGUAGGAUUACACCUUUUUUUUAAAUCCUCAUGUUAAUUAUUUGUAGGCUAUAUAUUGAAGAUACUAACAGUUACGGAUCUUCAUAAAUAAAUAGAUAAAAGAAAGGGGUAAUUACACCAAAACACAUGAACUUUGGCCCGUUUUCAAACUUUUCCAUGAACUUUAAUUUUUGCCUUCAAUUCCCUGAAUUUUAAAGUAUUGUUCAAAUUUUCCACAUUUUUCAUAAAUCCCCAAAUUGUAAGUUGACAUGUCAAUUUUUAAAUCACCUGAUAAAUGACAUGGCAAUGUCGGACGGCAAGCAAAACGACGUCGUUUAGUUGGGGAAUAGAACGACGUCGUUUUAUCCCAAACCCUUCUCUCUCUCAACUACACCCAACGCUCUCACAGACUCCGGCGGCUUCGCCGACUCUGACAGCUCGAUUUCAGCGGCAUCUCCUACAAACACUCGAGAGUGUCCUCAAUCAACCUCUCCAAUCAUCAUCUCCAUGUCGAUUUCUCCAAACUCAUCAAAUUUCUCCUCUCCCUUCAGAAUCUCGAAUCACUCAGUGCUCAAAAACGCUAACAUCUUCGGCACCAAUUCCGAAAUUCUCGUGCACAAUAUCGAAAAUGAGAUUUCAGGGCCCGUUUUUGAUGUUUCAGUCGUCGGCCGUUAAAUUUUACAUACGAUGGGGAUCUGAGGGAGAUAGGAUAGAGGCGGGGGAUGGGGACAUGUAGAUUCAAUUUUAAAAUGAAUACAAUGAUGUUGAUUUGUGGGAGGCUUUAGAAAGGGGGUCUACGGAAUUCUGUGGGCCUUAGAUGCUGAGGUUGAUAAAUCUUUUCUGCCUCUAUUUUUUUUUUCACAAUCUGAAUCCUUGAUCCAGGUAGAUUCUUUAUUUGUGCGACGGCACCAUCAUGAAAUUAAGCUAUUAGAUUGAGUUUCAAGAUUUCCCCAUAAAAGGGCUUUUGAUGCUUGUUUCUUUAGCUUCAUUCUUGUAACUUUUAUUUUGCUUAAUUCUGAUGCGUGUCUCAAGGUCUCUGAAGCGAAAAUGGCGGCGGAGAGGAGGAUCCCGACGAAGAUGGUGGCGGACAGGAGCGACAUCGAGAGGGAGUGGACGACGGGGAGGGGGCCCAGGGGGAGGGGGCGGCGGUGGCGGGAGAGGAGCAGGUAGGCGGCGAGCGGCAGUAGGUGAGGAGGGGUGAUGAGAAUGGCAGUUUGGGGAAGAUUGAUGAUUUUUUUUUUUGUUUACUAUUAUUUUUUGAAUCUUCCAAGUGUCAAUUUUCCAGUCGAAGUAGACGCCAUGUCAUCUCGAUAGUACCAUGUAGGCGCCAAGUCAGCUUGGUACUCGUCGGAGCCCAAAAUUGUGAAAAAAUUGAACAACACUUUAAAUUCAGGGAAUUGAAGACAAAAAUUAAAGUUCAUGAAAAAGUUUGAAAACAGGCCAAAGUUCAUGCGUUUUGGCGUAAUUAACCCUAAAAGAAAAGAUGAAGCCGGAAUUGAUAAGGCGUGCAUCUUCCUUAAUUAUAAAACUUGGUAAAGUUCCAUCAUUAUUGGAUUUAGGUAUUAUUCCUUCAUUACCAAAUAUUUUACCGUAUGUUAUGACUGGAUAUCAAAAGUUGAGAUUAGCUAUGGAUAUUUUUGGUAAUGUUGGCUGCAAUCGCUCUGGAAACAGCAAAUAGGCGUAGCUAGCUAUUUGUUAGCUAUCCCAUAUUACAUUAAACGCUCCAAAAAAUAUAGCGAUGCACAUGUAUAUAUUGAUGAGAUUAAUACCAUUUAUAAUCUCUUUUUUUUAUAUCGGAUAAAGUUAUGUUAGAUGUUAACAAUUAGUUCCCCAAACACUCCAAGAAUUCACCAAGCCCACCUUAUCUUUCCAAUCACCAAAUUCGCUCUUAAAAGAGAUCGAACCCGGGUCUCAUCACUUAAGUGAGGACUCAGUGGCCAGGUGAGCUAAGCCCCCUGGUUAAUAUAUUUAUAAUCUACCUAAAAAAUUCUAAAAUAUAAAAUUAUAUGGCAUUUAUCAUAAUUUAAUCUUGAUAGAAUCCCAUUCUCAAUUCGUACACAAAAGAAUUUACUAAGGAAGUACAAUAAAUUAAGAAAAAAUUAUUGAGUGUAUUGAGAGUUGAGAAAAGAUUAUUGAGUGUAUUGAGAAUGGCGAAAAUGUGUUUCAAUUAGUAUAGAAUGUGGUGAAAACGUGAAAAGUGAGGGUGAUCUUUUGUGAGUGGAGGGAGUAUAUAGUAUUUUUUUUAAUUAAAUUUUUGUGAUAAAUAUUAGUUAGAGUUUAUUAUAUAAUAAUAUUUUUUAUUUUAUAAUAAAUAAUUAUAAAAUAGAAAGUUUAAAGUGGAACAUAAUGAGACAUAUUAAAUUAUGGAACAUAGAAUCUCAUCCGUAAAAUGCUUAUUUUACAAAGUUUAGUUUAGUUUAGUUAGGCUGAAAAAAAUACAGACGGUUUCUUUUUUAGCUCUUUUUUGUGUUUGACGUCACUACAUAUAUCAUAUGUGCAUAUAUAAUCUUCACAAGAGUUUAGUCUAGUAUAAUUACCACGUAAGCUUUCAUUAAAUUCGCACAAGACAAAAUGAAUGUUAAAGGAAUAAAAAUCGGACCCCCUUCCCUCCUUUCAAAAAAAAAUAUUUGAUAUAUUUAAAAGUUAAAAUAUAAAUUUCUGUAUUAAUGUAUCAAAUCCAAAAUCAUUCUUUCUCCAAGUUCUUUGAUUUUUUUUUUUUGAGGGACAUUCUUUCUCCAAGUUAAUUAAUCAUUGUUGAUUUGUUGGUCCAUCUUUUUUCUUUUCCUUUAUCAAUUUUCACCAAUAAGUGUCAACAUUAGAAGCCUUCUGCCGUAUUUGGCAUUUCCCUGUGCUUGGAAUUUUCAAUCUUAACGAGAUUCAAAGUCACACAUUAAACAUAAAUAUAUAAAGACUAAGCUAAGCUGGGUCAAGGAAUAUUACAUAACAACACUAUUAAUCACACACAUAUAUAUAUAUGUUACACUUGAACUGAACUGAAAAUGAUACACUUAAACUGGCCUUUAAAGUAGUCUAAACUAAGCCGUACACAAGCCAUUAGGGGCAACAGCAAAUGAAACUACUUUAUAUAAUUGAAUUUAAGUUAAUUAGUUGUAAAUAGAAUGGAUUAAAUUUUCAGGUAGAAGUAGUGAUGAGGAUGUCAUUUUUGAGGUCGAAAUUGUCUCCGCGGACGAGGUGGGGAAGAGCCGGAACAAUUUCGGGGCAAACCAGUGCACUGAGAGUGACAACGUCGAUGAUUUGGUCUCUCUUUUGGCCAUCCACUUGUAUCUCAGGAAGCUUCUCUGCUACCGCCUUUUUCGCACCCUUGUAUAUCACAUAGAGCACCAUUUGAAUCACUCCGAAGCUGAAUCCCAGCACAUUUGGAAUCUAUACAACAAAAUAUUAAUCAAAAUCAUGUUUACUAAUUACGUUCAUCAUAUAUAUGUAUAUACUCACAGCAAUGUUGUAGUCCUUGCGCAGUAAGCCGUAGAAGAACCACAUGACAGCGCUUAUGGUGAGGAAAAAUGAGAGAAGAAACGGCAUGUAUUCCACGCUCUUGGUUCGUAUCACUUGUCUCUGAGGAAAAUUAAUAUAUGUAUAAUACUUCAUUAAAGAGUUAAUUAAUAAUUAAGCUAGAAAGUGAUGAAGAGAAAAAUGAACUCACCACGAUAAAUAAAGGGGCGACGAAGACACAUAAGGAGAAAACGAGGCAGAUCCACCCAACAAUGUUGGCACGUGUGGAGCCGUUUGCGAGAAAAUAAGUGAGCGCAACAAUUAGGCUCAUGCCAAGGAUGUUUAGAAGAAGAAUGAGCAUCCCAGUUUGCAGCUGCAUGCAUAUUAAUUAAUUAAUCAUAUAAUUGAAAGUAAAAAUAGAAAUUGCAAGUAGGUAGGUACCCUAGCACGUUUGGGGGCAUAAUAGAGAUAGAAACAAAUGUAAGCUGUCUGAACGAAACAGCCAACGGAAUUGAUGGUGAUGAGAAGGGUAGUAUCGGUCUUGAGCAGAGCAUAGUAUAUCCACAGCAUCGCGCUGAACAGCCCCACUACAUAUGGUACAGAUUGGAAUCCUUCCGUUGAUUUUUUCUUGUAUAUCUGAAUAAAUGUUGGUCUGCAUAUUUAUAUAUGAAACAUCGUUACUCACAAAGAAUUUAUGACUACAUAUGCAUAUCUAUGUAUAGCUAGUGAUGACAGAAUAAUUUAGGACAUGCAUGCAUGUCUUGUAUAUAUAACGAUCACCACGAAUGUAUAUAUGUAAUUCUAUCACUUGUAGUUUAAUAAUUAAUUAAUUUCUUCUUCGUCACAUAUAUCUUCAUUCGUUAAGUUGGAACUGCUCAAUUGUAAAGAAUCAGAGAGGGACUUACACUGGUGCAAGGAAAACCAUAAAGGAGACGAGAUUGCCUGCAAAAAAAAUAAAUUAUUUAUGAGUGUUGUGUAUAAUAUAUAAAUGGCGAAUGCUUAUGCAUAUGCAUGGAGAUGUAUUUUACGUAGAAAGAUAGUUAUGUAAUACUAACUAGCUUCUUUUUGCUACAUGUAUAGCCUUUUUGCCCCUACUCGAGAUUUCUAUGUAGCAUGAAAAUGCAUGGGAAACACGUGACAUUAAUUAAAAAACUACAAGAAUUUGAUAAUGAAAAUGAAAAAAAGCGAGAUAAUUAAUGAAGAUGCUGUACCCAGAAGGCCGAAGAUAAAAUCCAAGUAACUCAUCUUGAAUUUGGAAAGAAAAUGAAAUUUGUGAUCUCAACUUAAAAACGAAAUGCUUCAACUACGAGUAAGAAUGAUGGAGCAGCAUCCAUUUAUAUAGAGCUUAGCUAGGAAGUGGGGUGGAAAUGGAACUAUAAAUUCAUUAAUUUGAAUUGCAAAUUAAAACGAGUGGUGGGAGGGUUGAAAACCUCAAUUGUUUUAUUCUUUACAGUUGUGCAACACACAAAAGAGUGGUGAUCCUUACCCCAUUUAACAUAAUUGGGUAAUAUGUGCAUUGUUUCUCCCAUGAUCAAAAUUGGCUGUGUUUUGGCAGAGCCCCUAAAAUCAGUGGGACCCACGCAGGCUCUUUCCGACGUGUCACCCACCCAUCCAAUUGGGUUUAAGGCUUACAACUCAUACUUACAGUUUCUGGUAGUGUUUGAUGGCUGAACUCGUGAACCCUAGAUGUGCUCCUAUUCAGCAAACCCCAAUUCUGGUACAAACCAAUCAUCUCCUGCCACCUCAGCUUUUGUGUGCAUUGUCUAAUGUUCUUCAAAUUUCCCUUUCUUUUGUCAAACAAAUUAUUCUAGAAUAUUGAGUGAAUGGGAAGUACUCCCUCCCAUUAUUGUUGACCUAUUUCUUUUGGAUAUAUGGAUAUUUAGGAGAGUAAGAUUGCAAUGUAAAAAAAUGUAUAAACGUGUGUGUGAUCAUAUUGUUUGAAAUGUAAAAUCAUUACCAAAAAUAAACACAUGCUAAUAUUAAUGGGACACAUCAAUAAGGAAAACAUGUCAACAGUAAAUGGGACAGAGAGAGUAAUUAUAUAUCAUGCCGACCUACAAUAAUUAAUUAACAUGAUCUAAGAAUAAGAGUAAUCUUGUUAGUGUGCGUGUGUUAGUCUAAUGGAUUAAUAUCUAAGAUCCAUGAACACAUAAUUUCUAGAAUUAUUUAUUCUUACACCCAGAAAAGUGUAAUUUUGCUAGCGGCACGAGUUAUUUUUUUAAGUUCCGCUUUAAUAAUCGCUCAAUUCAUUAAUUUCCCACGCACAAAUUUAUAUUGGCAACUAAUUAAGAUGUGACCUCUUUAAGAGUUUUAAAUUUGUAAUGUCUAAAUUGGUUACAUUGAUGCUAAUUGGACGUAAUAUAUCCAGACAUAAUGAGGUUCGCAGGUCUACUCAGACUUAGAUUUACUGCUUAAUCGAAUACUACAUAAUAUUCAGAGUUACUGUUUUACCCUUCACUUGUUUUGGCUCCAAUUUAAUGUAUUUUGGCUCUCUGUUCCCUCCCACAAAUUAAUCCGGUUCACACCUAUUCCCUCCAUUUUCCAACUAAUUAAGAAAUGUUUAUUCACAGUAUAUCUUAAUUCAAAUUAAAUACUUAAGUAUGUGACAUAAAGCAAAUCGUCCCACUCAUGCAUUAAGAUUUAUUUCGACUAAUAUAAUACUCCCUCCGUCCGCCAAAAGUAUUCCACUUUGGCUAGGCACGGAGAUUAAUAAAAUGUGUGAUGAUGUUGAUGUAGUGGAGAAAGGGCCCCACCACUUUAUGAGAUGUGUGGUUGAGAUUGAAUUUGAGGUGGGUUUUUUGUAAAUAAAGAGUGUUUGUAAGGAUAAAAUAUAAAGGUGGAUGGUGGGACCAUGGCUUAAAAAGGAAAGUGGAAUACUUUUUACGGACGCCAAAUAUAGUAAUUGUGGAAUACUUUUGGCGGACGGAGGGAGUACCAUUUAUUCAUUUAUGUCUAAACAUAUCUGGUCUAAAUAGCAUUAUUGAUAGUAAAUGUUGUUAACAACUUUUUUUGUCGUUUCUUCAUAAUUUAAUUUCAUACUCGGAAUUUGAUGUCCUACGAGUAUUUAUAUGAGUUUUGGGAGAGCUCGCGUGAUUGCAUACCUUCUAUAUGUUUCUAUACAACUUUUGUAUGAAGAAAAAAGACAACCGAUAUAGAAUGACCUGAAAAUACGAGUCUCGAUCGAGUCCCAUUUUGCAGGUGGGCCCCGGCUUCUUACAAAUUUAUAUGGGAUCAAAAAAUUACGACUUUCCCUAUCUAUAAGGUUAACGGUCUAUUAAAAAUAAAUUAAAUAGUGUUCUUUUCUCUCAUGUAAUAGGAGUAUAAUAAAAGUUUGUAUCAGCUUAAAAAUUAACUAAUGAUGAGUAUUUUAUUACUAUUAUUUUUCGAAAAAUGAUGAUCAAUCAAUGUUUAGGUAAAUUGGGGUUUCCUUCACGUCAAUAAUAAUGCCAGCAUAAGACCAAACCAGCUUGCCCGACGCACUAUAUAUGAUGUUCAGUAAUCGCCUCCAAUUUGUUCUCUCAUAUCUACUAAAUAUCAUUCAUUAAUUAUUAAAUUGGUUACAAUUACAUUGCACUUUCUAACAAAUUAUAAAUCUAUAUGACUAUAUGUAGUUGGAAGUUGUCACCAUCACUCAAUUACAUUUGUACUCUCAAACAAAUUAAUAGUAUCUUACCUAGUGUUUAGCUUUUACAUUUUAUUUUGCGAGUUUCAAAUUAAUUUCAAGAUUUGAAUGCUUUCUCCAGCUAAGAAAAUGGAUAAAUCAUACUUGUGGUUAGCUGUAUUGGCAUUUUGUAAUAAAUGGUACGGAUAAAUUUGGUUUUUUAUCAUCAUUUUAGCUCGUACUUUGUUAGACGACCGGCCGGAUACACAUAUGCUAAAGACUAUACUCCAUUUAUUCAGGAUAUCGUUUCCACUUUGUGGACGACAUAUAUUUUAAAAAAAUAAUAGAUAGUACUUAGUAAUAGUAGGUAUUGUUGUUAAUGCAGUUUGGAUUCCACUAUUAUUGUGACUUGUGAAUGCAAUUUGUGGACCCUACUGAUAUAAAUAGAAGUGAAAAUGAUAUUAUAAUGAAUCACUACAAGAACCUGGCCGAUUACCAACGAAAUUUUUCGUCGCUAAAUCCAUAAAAUCCGUCGGUAAAGUCAGAUACCGACGGAUCACCGACGGCCACCGUGCGUCGCCGUAAAAGUGGUCGGUAAAAAAUUUACCGACGAAUUUUUUUUCGUCGCUAAAUACCGACGGAAAGGACGAUGGACCGUCCGUAGGCGAGUACGCGACGACGCCGGCGUCGUCUGAAAUCAGCGACGAAAAUGACCGUCGGCAUUAGCGACGGAAUUUUUUUUACGAAAUAAUAAUAAUAAUAAUAAUAAUAAUAAUAAUAAUAAUAAUUUUACAUUAAAAAAAUAAUUUACUAAUAAUUAAAAUUGCAUUAAAAUAAAGAUCCUAAAAAUUACAUUAAAAAAAAACUAAAGACAUAAAUUAAAAAUUACUUAAAUCCUAAAAAACAUAUUUAAAACUAACAUUAAAAUAUCUAAUUUCAAAGAAAAGAAAAAAGAAAAGAAAAAAGAAGAGAAAAUGGGUGAUUCUCGGGUAUACUCGAACAAACGAGUAGCCCUCGAGUAGGCAAGCCCUGCAUUAAGCUACUCGAUGCUUGGGCUACUCGAGUAUGGGGCAUCGAGUAGCCCGUUGCAGAUGCUCUAAGACGAACUUCCCAGUGGGUCACCCAUCUUAGUUGUGCUCUAAGUCAAGCACGCUUAAUCUUGAAGUUCCUUUCGAGUAGUCACUAGUACAGAACACGCGUAUUAUUGAUAUAACUAGCACUUAUUAAUUCAUUUAAACUCUAUUUCAAUACAAUAUCAUUUAUUCAUAAUCUUAGAAUAUGUCGAGAUGAUAUCUAAGACUUGUGGUGCCGAUGAAAAAAUGACGGCAAAUAUACGAUCGAAUUUAAAAUAAUUAAAAAAAUAUUUUUGUUAAUUAAAAAAAGAAAAUAUUAUUGUUGAAAAUAACAAUAAAUUUUAAAAUAUUCUCAAUAAUUUAAAAAUAAUAAUAAAAUAGAAUAUUAAUUAAAAUAUAUAUAUAUUUUAAAAAAUAAAAUAAAAAUAACAAAAAAAUUAAUAAUAUUUACCGAUGGAUUACCGACGGCUUAAUUAAAAAAAUAAAAAAAAUAAAAAAUUAAAAAAAAAUAAAAAAUAGUAAAAAUAAUAUUUAACGACGGAUUACGCUCCGUCGCUAUUCGGUCGAUAAAAUUUAAAAAAUAAUUAAAAAACAAACUAAAAAUAAAAAAUAAUAUUUAACGACGGAAUAUUUUCCGUCGCUAAUUAAUAAUUCAUUCGGUAUACUUUUAAAAACAUCUUCGUCGGAAUUCCGCCGUUGUUCCGUCGUUGAUUACCGACGGAUUAUUUUCCGUCGGUAAUUCCGUCGGUGUCAGGUAAGUUUUUUUGUAGUGAAUGGACGAAAAUAAUAAAAAUAGAAAUGAUAUCAUAGACGAAUGGAGUAUAAUUUAUUAAUUCAUGUGCCAAAAUGGUAUAUAUAUUUCGGCGUACAUUAGAUAAAUCAUGUUUUUGCAUAAUAACUUGGAAACUCCGUAAACCGAAUAAAUUAUAUUCCCUCCGUCCGUGAUAUCGUUUCCACAUUUGCUAUUUCAAUCCGUCCGCAAUAUCAUUUUCACUUCUAUUUAUAGAAGUUGGGUCCACAAACUUCAUCUCACAACAAUAGUGGGACUCGAAUUUCACUCACUACAAUAUCCACUACUAUCCACCACUUUUCUUAAAACCCGCUCGUCCACAAUGUGGAAACGAUAUCGUGGACGGAGGGAGUAUUAGAAAAUCAAAUGUAAGAGGCUCAGACUAAUUAUAGAGAUUUUUAUUUUGAGGCGGAGGUAAAAAAAUAAUAAUAAAUAAAUAAUAAUUCGUGAAAAAUAAUUCGAAAGAGGAGUAUCUAUUCUACAGGCCAUAAUAUUAAUAUGUGAAAAUUAAGGUUGACGGGAUUUUAAAUCGAGUAGAAGAGAUAGAGCAGAGAGAAUAUUUGUAAGACAAUUGACGGAGAAAAUUUAAAGCAUUAAAGAUUGGUGAGUAUUGUUAAGGGACUUACACAUGGAAUUUUGAAGAUUGUGAUUAUAUUCUUACAUCCUAUUCGUGCAGAAUUUAAGGCAAAGUGUGACAAAUAUAUUCAACAUCUGUCGCUCAACAUGAGCGUACGUAGUGUGUGCUGCAACCAACGUAAAUGGUCUCUAAUAGCUAACACAUCUAAAACCACAGCUUUUCAAUAAUAAAAUUGAUUUUGUAAUUAACACUAUAUAAUGAAUAAUAAUGUUGCGUUUUUACUAUUACUAACUAGUCGACAUUUACAUGUUUGAUACACCGGUAUUAUUUAGGGGUUAUUGCCGGAAAAUAUAUAUAUAUGUAGUUUGUCAAUUUUCUGUUUAUAACAUGACCUUAUAAUUUGACAGAAAAUACACUAAUUUUCAAUUUAAUUGAAUUAUAACAUGACUUUAUAAUCUGACAAGAAAAUACACCAAGUUUCAAUUUAAUCUCAAUUAUAACAUGACCUUAUUUAGAUUAUUGUUCAUCAUAGAUGUAUUAAUAUUUAUUGUAACUUCAUAUUAAAUUGUUAUGUAUAAAAUAUUGUUAAUUGAUUGAUUUAUUUUUAUAAAAAUUAAGUUAAAAAUAUAUUUCUACAUUUUCAACACACAAAAUGCAUAUAUAUAAAUUUGAUUUUAAUAUUCUAUUAAUAUAUUACAUAUAUAAUAAGUAUUUAACUAUUUAAAUUAUGAAAUUAUAAAAUAUUAGGACCAAUAAAUAAUUUAGGUACAUAUAUAAUAGGAACUAUGUUAAAAAGUAAAUAAUAUUAUAUAUUAUUACAUAUUCAUCAAAUAUAUAUAUAUAUAUACANUAAAUAAUUUAGGUACAUAUGUAAUAGGAACUAUGUUAAAAAGUAAAUAAUAUUAUAUAUUGUUUACAUAUUCAUCAAAUAUAUAUCUAUAUAGUAUACACUAUAUAUAUAUAUAUACAUAUAUAGUAUAUUGUGAGAUGAAAAGAAAAUUAAAAAUAUUUAAUGUUAAAUUUUUAUAUUAUUAUACUAAAUUAAUUAUAAAGACAUGUUAUAAUUACAAUUAAAUUGAAAACUGGUGUAUUUUCUGGUCAAGCUACAAAGUCAUGUUAUAAUUGCGAUUAAAUUGAAAAUUGGUGUAUUUUCUGGUCAAAUUAUAAGGUCAUGUUAUAAACAAGAAAAUUGACAAACUACAUGUAUUUUCUGGCAAUAACCCCUAUUAAUUAUAUCUUCAAAGAUGCUAAUGAGGCCUUGUUCUAGUGAUAAAGUUGAGGCACCCAAAGACUCUUCUUUGUGAGAGGUCUUGGGUUUAAUCCCGUCUAUGUGCGAUGAUAUUUUCCCACUUUAGGUGGCGCUGUAUUCCAGCCUGCGUGCGAUGUUGUAUUAUUUGGUGUUGAGGUCCCACACGCAGGGCGUUUUUCUCGCCUGCGUGCGGUGAUGUUUUCUCACCGUUCGGGUGGUGAUAAGGUCCCGCCUGUAUGCAGUGAUGUUUUCCCACGGUUUGGGUGGUGAUAAGGUCCCGCCUG